rnacentral:rRNA from 1 species
GAUGAACGCUGGCGGCGUGCCUAAUACAUGCAAGUCGAGCGAACAGACGAGGAGCUUGCUCCUCUGACGUUAGCGGCGGACGGGUGAGUAACACGUGGAUAACCUACCUAUAAGACUGGGAUAACUUCGGGAAACCGGAGCUAAUACCGGAUAAUAUAUUGAACCGCAUGGUUCAAUAGUGAAAGACGGUUUUGCUGUCACUUAUAGAUGGAUCCGCGCCGCAUUAGCUAGUUGGUAAGGUAACGGCUUACCAAGGCAACGAUGCGUAGCCGACCUGAGAGGGUGAUCGGCCACACUGGAACUGAGACACGGUCCAGACUCCUACGGGAGGCAGCAGUAGGGAAUCUCCCGCAAUGGGCGAAAGCUUGACGGAGCAACGCCGCGUGAGUGAUGAAGGUCUUCGGAUCGUAAAACGCUGUUAUUAGGGAAGAACAAAUGUGUAAGUAACUAUGCACGUCUUGACGGUACCUAAUCAGAAAGCCACGGCUAACUACGU